rnacentral:rRNA from 1 species
GAUGAACGCUAGCUAUAGGCUUAACACAUGCAAGUCGAGGGGAAACGGCAUUAUGUGCUUGCACAUUUUGGACGUCGACCGGCGCACGGGUGAGUAUCGCGUAUCCAACCUGCCCUUUACUUGGGGAUACCCCGUUGAAAGACGGCCUAAUACCCGAUGUAAUUCAUUGAUGGCAUCAGAUAUGAAUAAAAGAUUUAUCGGUAAAGGAUGGGGAUGCGUCUGAUUAGCUUGUUGGUGAGGUAACGGCUCACCAAGGCGACGAUCAGUAGGGGUUCUGAGAGGAAGGUCCCCCACAUUGGAACGGAGACACGGUCCAAACUCCUACGGGAGGCAGCAGUGAGGAAUAUUGGUCAAUGGGCGCAAGCCUGAACCAGCCAAGUAGCGUGCAGGAAGACGGCCCUAUGGGUUGUAAACUGCUUUUAUACGAGAAUAAUUUGAUGCACGUGUGCGUUAUUGCAUGUAUCGUAUGAAUAAGGACCGGCUAAUUCCGUG